rnacentral:rRNA from 1 species
AUUGAACGCUGGCGGCAGACUUAACACAUGCAAGUCGAGCGGAGUGAUGGUGCUUGCACUAUCACUUAGCGGCGGACGGGUGAGUAAUGCUUAGGAAUCUGCCAUUUAGUGGGGGACAACAUUCCGAAAGGAAUGCUAAUACCGCAUACGCCUUACGGGAGAAAGCAGGGGAUCUUCGGACCUUGCGCUAAAUGGUGAGCCUAAGUCGGAUUAGCUAGUUGGUGGGGUAAAGGCCUACCAAGGCGACGAUCUGUAGCGGGUCUGAGAGGAUGAUCCGCCACACUGGGACUGAGACACGGCCCAGACUCCUACGGGAGGCAGCAGUGGGGAAUAUUGGACAAUGGGCGGAAGCCUGAUCCAGCCAUGCCGCGUGUGUGAAGAAGGCCUUUUGGUUGUAAAGCACUUUAAGCGAGGAGGAGGCUACUAGUACUAAUACUACUGGAUAGUGGACGUUACUCGCAGAAUAAGCACCGGCUAACUCUGUGCCAGCCGCCGCGGUAAGAC